AAACAAAUGAGAGCUCAAAGAAUCCUUAUAUAGGAUUUCUAAAGCUUUCUCACCAAGUCGGGCACUUUAUGCCAGUUUCCUUAUUUGGCUUUGUCAAAGAUCACUAUCAAUGGGUUGACUUGAUAUAUUUGAUUCUUACCUUAGGUGACUCCCGCAGAUCCGACAUUCCUUUUGUAUUAUCCCGCAAUUAUGGCUAGUCAAACUUUCUUUACUUGGAACUUGCAUUAUCCAAUAGCCGAACAUUCUUUAAUUGGUCUUGCGUCUUGAUCUCUCCGUAUGUAUGCUCUGAUCGUUCCAUGAUCAGUUUACCAUCGCUCAA
rnacentral:lncRNA from 1 species